CCCAAACACAAUCAAAUCUGAAAUCACAAAUCAUAGUUGAUAUCACAAGCUGUGACCAAUUUAUAUGUUUGUCCGAAGUUGCCAUUUUCUACAAGUGACAGUAUCCCGUACUUGUGCAUAGGCUGUAGAUGGAGCCACGCUUGAAAUAACACUGACAUAACAAACCACUAGUCACGGUUGACGGGCACUGAAAAAAAACAUAAAUUCGUUCAUGCAUGACAUGAACACUUAAUUAAGGUCCACAUAACAGGUGAUGAGAUGACAACAGGUCUGCUUCGCACCUUCACAACAACAGAUUGUCAAUAACACACCCUGUGACAUAAAACCACUCACAAGGCAAACAGACAUGACAAGGAACAGGCUAUUAUUAUGACACCAACAAUUACCUUUGUCCAUAGUCAUCUUAAAUCACCACAAUGUCCAAAAUUAAUCCAACAAUUCUCAGUCCAUUUUUCAAGAAGGUUAGUGACAUAAAUAUCCCUGGCUGGUCCGCACAUCAGUGUUGGCUGUGGCCUUGUGUGUAAUCACAGGUAGCUGGCUGUCAAUACCCGGCCGACUGGCCGCGACAAUGGAUUAUACAGGCAGGCAUGUUCGGACACAGCCAGUUCAUGCACCCCCCAGUUCCUGUCUUUGGAGCAUGCUCAGAGCGGAGAUUACCUAUAUCACAAGAUCACAGCCAGGGGUUCAGUGUUGAGGACAAUUAUUCAACAAUUGAACAGCUGGUUCCAUGUCAAUCAUGACCCCGACCCUCCUGGAUGAUUACGGAGUGGGCGUGUCCAGCUCCCCAUGUGCUUCUCACUUCCUGGUUGUGGCUGCAUCUGGAGGGAGCAUCCAUCUAUCUCCCUCCUCACCAGCAGGUGACCACAUAGUGCUCCUGCGUUGGUUCAAGCAAAUCUCCCAGACUCCGUGCACCCAGUAGCUGUGGCUUAUUCCGAGUUAUACGCUGGUCACACCCUCGUCUGUACACAGCCAGGAGAACAGCUGGAGAACUGGGCAGCAGUGGAAACUAAGGGCAUCCAGCAUCAACCAUCAUGGCGGCGAGAUCAGAAACCACUGACAGCCAAACUCAAUGUGUCAGUAUAUAAAAGGUCCGGUGAUGACAGUCAACCUCAAAUUCCUGUCAUCAUGGCAGCCAACACAACCCUUCUGUGUGACCAUGACAGUCAACACAACCCUCCUGUGUUACCAUGACAGUCAACUAAACCCUCCUGUGUCACCAUGGCAGUCAACCCAACUCUCCUGUGUCACCAUGACAGUCAACACAACCCUCCUGUGUUACCAUGACCGUCAACCCAACUCUCCUGUGUCACCAUGACUGUCAACCCAACUCUCCUGUGUCACCAUGACAGUCAACUAAACCCUCCUGUGUCACCAUGGCAGUCAACCCAACUCUCCUGUGUCACCAUGACAGUCAACACAACCCUCCUGUGUCACCAUGACUGUCAACCCAACUCUCCUGUGUCACCAUGACAGUCAACCCAACUCUCCUGUGUCACCAUGACAGUCAACUAAACCCUCCUGUGUCACCAUGGCAGUCAACCCAACUCUCCUGUGUCACCAUGACAGUCAACACAACCCUCCUGUGUCACCAUGACUGUCAACCCAACUCUCCUGUGUCACCAUGACAGUCAACCCAACCUUCUUGUGUCACCAAGACAGUCAACCCAACCCUCCUAUGUAACCAUGGCAGUGAACCCAACUCUCCUGUCACCAUGACAGUCAACCCAACCCUCCUGUGUUACCAUGACAGUCAACACAACCUUCCUGUGUCACCAUGACAGUCAACACAACCCUCCUGUGUCACCAUGACAGUCAACACAACCCUCCUGUGUCACCAUGACAGUCAACACAACCCUCCUGUGUUACCAUGACAGUCAACACAACCCUCCUGUGUCACCAUGACAGUCAACACAACCCUCCUGUGUCACCAUGACAGUCAACACAACUCUCCUGUGUUACCAUGACAGUCAACACAACCCUCCUGUGUCACCAUGACAGUAAACACAACCCUCCUGUGUUACCAUGACAGUCAACACAACCCUCCUGUGUCACCAUGGCAGUCAACACAACCCUCCUGUGUCACCAUGACAGUCAACACAACCCUCCUGUGUCACCAGUCACAGGUACCAAGAAGAAUAGCCUGUGUAAGCUGGACGAGAUGGAAGGGAACUCUACCACUCAAUCCUCUCAUCCUAAAACCAUGUCAGUGACAAGAUGCAAAGAGUUGUCUCCCUUACCUGGCCCAGCAGCUCCCUGCACAAGAGGAUCAAACUUGACAAACAGAGACUCACGGCCCAGAUCCGACUCUUUACACUGGAGAAGAAGAGAAGCCAGUCAGUGAGACUCGUAGUACUGGCAGCAGUAUCAUGGCGGGUACAGUGCGUGUGGAUGGGCAGACUUGAACACAAACUCACCAUCAGAUGCAGGAACAAAGCCUUCAUUGUCACACUCCGGCAUCUCCCCAUCUUCCCCUGCACCAAAGUCAUGGACCAUCUCCAGGCUAUCAGCCAUCUGAUUGGCUGCUUCUUUGUCAUGUGACUUCAGACCCUGCACAACAGGCAGCUGUUUGGCUACUUCUUUGUCAUGUGACUGCAGAUCCUCCUCUACAGGCAGCUGAUUGGCUGGCGGUGGAUCAGAAGUUAUCAAACAUGUCAAGAAGAGUGAGUGGGUGAAAAGUCAAAGAAGUCCCAGCGGCGUUCAGACUGGAGAUGAAUGAUGCAUCACUGACACGACUGAUGGUCAUCAACUAUCAUCAGGCUGAUGACACGAGUCAAGAAUUGAUCAUCCAGCCAACAACAGCUGAGGACGGCGUUCAGUAUUUCUCAUUGACGGUUAUUGAUUAGAGCCCUGUAAUAUCUUCACCAAUGAAGAGGAACAAAACGGCCACAUGUUGCCCCUUUUCUAAAACAUAUGGGUUUAAUCAACAGUUAUAAACAUGAUGGAAUUCUGACAGGUCGCACCCAAACAUUCCAUCACUGUUGAUAUAUUUGACAGCUAGAUCGGCAUUAGUGGUUCCACUAAUUGUAAAAAUGUUCGUUGUUUAGAUACAUCGUGAUUGAACGUUAUGGCUUACAGUAUUC
rnacentral:lncRNA from 1 species